rnacentral:rRNA from 1 species
GAUGAACGCUGGCGGCGUGCCUAAUACAUGCAAGUCGAGCGAAUGGAUUGAGAGCUUGCUCUUAUGAAGUUAGCGGCGGACGGGUGAGUAACACGUGGGUAACCUGCCCAUAAGACUGGGAUAACUCCGGGAAACCGGGGCUAAUACCGGAUAACAUUUUGAACCGCAUGGCUCGAAAUUGAAAGGCGGCUUCGGCUGUCACUUAUGGAUGGACCCGCGUCGCAUUAGCUAGUUGGGGAGGUAACGGCUCACCAAGGCAACGAUGCGUAGCCGAGCUGAGGGGGUGAUCGGCCACACGGGGAAUGAGACACGGCCCAGACUCCUACGGGUGGCAGCAGUAGGGAAUCUUCCGCAAUGGACGAAAGUCUGACGGAGCAACGCCGCGUGAGUGAUGAAGGCUUUCGGGUCGUAAAACUCUGUUGUUAGGGAAGAACAAGUGCUAGUUGAAUAAGCUGGCACCUUGACGGUACCUAACCAGAAAGCCACGGCUAACUACGUGCCAGCCGCCGCCGUAA